rfam:Schistosoma margrebowiei strain Zambia genome assembly, scaffold: SMRZ_contig0001255
AUCCAUCUGACGAGUCCCGAAUAGGACGAAACGCGCGUCCUGGAU